GUUGCUACCUACAGAUUUAAUGCGAUGGGACAAGUGUGCAAACUGCGCCUUUUCGAUGGCGGGCAGAAAGCACUUGGGACAUUCGCGUGGUUUGAGCGCUCCCUAUGAGUGGAAAUGCUUAUGAAAGCCUAACGAUUAUAUUUAAAGACAGAGCUUUAUCAAGGCUUUCAUCAUGCAUUAUAUUCUGUGGCUCGAAAUGUCAAUAGCACGAAAUUUACCUCAGAGUUUAAAAGGUUCACGGUUCCAGUGUGGGAGAGGAGAUUUUCCUCAAAAAGUGCAUGGGAUGAAUGAUGGUCAAAAGCUGCCCCCUUGACCAAAUCCAUUUCUUCUGCUGGUUAUCCAUAAAUCAGCAGUUCACCUACCCCAUGCCACACAAGCUCUUCAUCUCUGCCCUCGUGCACCACUCCUCCACAGCACCAUUCCCUUUCACCUUCCCUCUCUCCAAUCCCAAAUGUGACCAAAGAUAACACAGAAGAGGGCCAGCUGGACUCCUUGGUUGUGGUUGUGGAUUUCAAACAACUUAGACCCAGUAUCCCUAACAUUGGAAAUACCUGCUCCAUGAAUGCAAUAUGUUGCAGUGCCUCUUUGACCUUAAGUCUUUUUGCAAUGACAUCAUCGAGCAGGAGCAGAGCUGUAUAUUCCCUAAGCUGCUCAAAGCUGAAAAGUGCAUGCAGGAAGUGUUUUGGAAAACAGGCUUCUCUAUCCUUGAUGUUCAACUAAUCUUCUUGAGUCCUCAUUCGCCAGCUGAAACAUUUUUAGGUGGAUGCUCUUGGGAACAUGAAGAAACUGAUGAACAGGAUUCCCAUUCCUGUGGAAAAGACUGUGAACCACCACUGCAGGGAUGGUGUGCAAUCACUUCUCGAACUGGACAAUAGAGAAUGCAUCAGGAGCACAGCCCAGAGGAUCAGCGGCCUUUGCAAUGCAGUCUAGCCUCCCUUUGGCAUUUU